UCUCAUCACAAGAGAAACAAAAAGCCUGCUUUAUAAAGGAGGAAAAUUAUAGAAAUUCUUUUCUCAUCCACCUCAGCCCCUAGACCUUAUGUGUAGCGCACAGCCCAGCCUAUAGUAGAUGCACAUUUCUGUUUUUGUCAAGCCUUACUGGGAACAUAAUCAUUCUAUUUGUAGUUGAAAAUGGCACUGAGGCUGUUGAGUGUAAAUUUUACUACCAUGGCAACUGUGGAACACAAAGAUGAUAAAUAUGAACAUGCAGCAAUAUUUUUGGCAGGUAGAGUCAGCUGGAGGUAACAUGUCUCCUUGCAGGGCAUCCCGGCGACUCUUUGGACCAGUUGAACCAAAGAGGAUAGAGGAUGAAGUCCAAAUUGGUAAUGGACUCCAGGAAUCUUUGUUAGCAGCUCUUGGAAGAAGAUGGGAGGCCAACCACACUUUUCUCCGCUUAUUGACGACACAGUUCAAAUCAUCAGGAAGAGACAUUAUGGGUCUACAGGUCUCCUGGGCUGUGAGCAGAGUCGCAGCUGGCAUCUGGGAGAAAAAAGAAAGAAGACCACAAUUUGGCCUUUAAGGAAAUAGACCUGGGAGGAGAUAAAAGGGAGUCAUCUCACUGUGUUGUCUGAUGGGCCAGAAACCCUCUUUCAGAAGAAAUUGGUUUCUGAAAGCUGAUGUGAAUUUCGUGUAGCGUUCAAUUGCUCUCUUUCUUUGUUUAGGCUUAGCUCACCAUUUUUGGAUUGAGGAGGCAAGACUUCGCGUCACUCCCCCGACCCAUCCUACCCCACAGCCCACACACUGACAUACACACAGACAUGCACACAGACACAUGUACACCCUUUAUCACUGGCAAGAGGGACCAGUUUUACAAUCCAAAAGCCUUAUCUGCUGCAGGGUCCACCAUCCUGACCCUAGCCCACCCAUGACUUCCCUCUUCCAGGCUCAGUUCUGAGCUCCAUCCCUGAUAUGGUUUGGCUGUGUCCCCAUUCAAAUCUCAACUUCAAUUGUAUCUCCCAGAAUUCCCACCUGUUGUGGAAGGGACCCAGGUGGAGGUAAUUGAAUCAUGGGGGCUGGUCUUUCCCAUGCUAUUCUCAUGAUAGUGAAUAAGUCUCAUGAGAUCUGGGUUUAUCAGGGCAUUCCACUCUUGCAUCCUCAUUCAUUUCUCUCUUGCUGCUGUCAUAUAAGAAGUGCCUUUCACCCUCCACCAUGAUUAUGAGACUGCCCCUACCGUGUGGAAGUCCAAUUAAACCUCCUUUUCUUCCCAG
rnacentral:lncRNA from 1 species